GACGAACGCUGGCGGCGUGCCUAAUACAUGCAAGUAGAACGCAGUUGCGAACGGGUGAGUAACGCGUAUGUAACUGCCUCAUAGCGGGGGAUAACUAUUGGAAACGAUAGAUUAUACCGCUAACUGUGAGAUGGACCUGCGUUGUAUUCGCUCGUUGGUGAGGUAAAGGCUCACCAAGGCGACGAUACAUAGCCGACCUGAGAGGGUGUUCAGCAACACUGGGACUGUAAGCAGGCCUAGACCCAGACGGGUGGCAGCCGUAGGGAAACUUCGGAAAUGGACGGAAGUCAUACCGAGAAACGCCACGGGAGUGAAGAUGGUUUUUGGAUCUUAAAGGUCGGUUGUUAGAGAAGCGGUAACUAACCAGAAAGUGACGGCUAACGACGGGACAGCAGCCGCGGUAAUUC
rnacentral:rRNA from 1 species